ACAGAAUUCAAUAGGAGAGAAAAUAUCGUGGAUCAGAAACAAUAUGAUUCCAGGCGUGUGACCCUAUACUCCAGAGAUAACUGCAAGUUUGUUAGAAACGGAGGUAUGUAGCAAGAAAUGAUGAAGAAAUGGAAGAAAUUACUAUUAAAAGGUCUAUAGGUAGCAACAGGAGUAGACAGCAUGCUAGGAGGGAACAUAUAAUUAGAGUAGAAAGAACUAGGAGAAUAUCAUACACGUGGAAUAGAAAUUUCUGAUAUUUUAAAUGCAACUCAGUGUGAAAUGUUAUUGAAUUGGAAUAAUGAAUUACAGUGUGCGAAUAAUUUUAAAUUUAUAAGGUUUGGCGAGAAAGAUUUAAAGAAAGUAUUAGAGCUAAGAAAAAGAAUGAAAAUAAGCCAUAUUAGACUAUCCAAAUCUCUAUUAGCUAUGCCUGUAAACAAGAAGAAUUUAUUCAGCAAGCCAAUUGAUUCAGAUGAAAAUAGUGUAAUGGAAAUAGAAUAAAUUCUGUAGAUAUGUC